AGCUCCAAUAGCGUAUAUUAAAGUUGUUGCAGUUAAAAAGCUCGUAGUCGGAUUUCUGGCUCGGACGUGCGGUCCGUUUGGCCUUGCCAGAUGUGAACUAGCUUCGUCCAGCCAUCCUCGCGGAGAGUACGGCCCAUGUGGUCACGCAAUCCGCGUCUUUUACUGUGAACAAAUUAGAGUGUUCAAAGCAGGCUUACGCCACUGAAUACAUUAGCAUGGAAUAAUCCUAUAGGACUUUGGUUUUCUAUUGUUGGUUAUGAACCAGAGUAAUGAUUAAUAGGGAUAGUUGGGGGUAUUCGUAUUCAAUUGUCAGAGGUGAAAUUCUUGGAUUUAUGGAAGACGAACAACUGCGAAAGCAUUUACCAAGGAUGUUUUCAUUGAUCAAGAACGAAAGUACGCA
rnacentral:rRNA from 1 species